CAGUAGCCACGGGAAUACGAAGGGUGCAAGCGUUACUCGGAAUUACUGGGCGUAAAGCGUGCGUAGGUGGUGGUUUAAGUCCGUUGUGAAAGCCCUGGGCUCAACCUGGGAAUUGCAGUGGAUACUGGGUCACUAGAGUGUGGUAGAGGAUAGUGGAAUUUCCGGUGUAGCAGUGAAAUGCGUAGAGAUCGGAAGGAACAUCUGUGGCGAAGGCGACUAUCUGGGCCAACACUGACACUGAGGCACGAAAGCGUGGGGAGCAAACAGGAUUAGAUACCCCGGUAGUCCCUGUCUCUUAUAC
rnacentral:rRNA from 1 species